GGUUAAGCGACUAAGCGUACACGGUGGAUGCCCUGGCAGUCAGAGGCGAUGAAGGACGUGCUAAUCUGCGAUAAGCGUCGGUAAGGUGAUAUGAACCGUUAUAACCGGCGAUUUCCGAAUGGGGAAACCCAGUGUGUUUCGACACACUAUCAUUAACUGAAUCCAUAGGUUAAUGAGGCGAACCGGGGGAACUGAAACAUCUAAGUACCCCGAGGAAAAGAAAUCAACCGAGAUUCCCCCAGUAGCGGCGAGCGAACGGGGAGCAGCCCAGAGCCUGAAUCAGUGUGUGUGUUAGUGGAAGCGUCUGGAAAGGCGCGCGAUACAGGGUGACAGCCCCGUACACAAAAAUGCACAUGCUGUGAGCUCGAUGAGUAGGGCGGGACACGUGGUAUCCUGUCUGAAUAUGGGGGGACCAUCCUCCAAGGCUAAAUACUCCUGACUGACCGAUAGUGAACCAGUACCGUGAGGGAAAGGCGAAAAGAACCCCGGCGAGGGGAGUGAAAAAGAACCUGAAACCGUGUACGUACAAGCAGUGGGAGCACGCUUAGGCGUGUGACUGCGUACCUUUUGUAUAAUGGGUCAGCGACUUAUAUUCUGUAGCAAGGUUAACCGAAUAGGGGAGCCGAAGGGAAACCGAGUCUUAACUGGGCGUUAAGUUGCAGGGUAUAGACCCGAAACCCGGUGAUCUAGCCAUGGGCAGGUUGAAGGUUGGGUAACACUAACUGGAGGACCGAACCGACUAAUGUUGAAAAAUUAGCGGAUGACUUGUGGCUGGGGGUGAAAGGCCAAUCAAACCGGGAGAUAGCUGGUUCUCCCCGAAAGCUAUUUAGGUAGCGCCUCGUGAAUUCAUCUCCGGGGGUAGAGCACUGUUUCGGCAAGGGGGUCAUCCCGACUUACCAACCCGAUGCAAACUGCGAAUACCGGAGAAUGUUAUCACGGGAGACACACGGCGGGUGCUAACGUCCGUCGUGAAGAGGGAAACAACCCAGACCGCCAGCUAAGGUCCCAAAGUCAUGGUUAAGUGGGAAACGAUGUGGGAAGGCCCAGACAGCCAGGAUGUUGGCUUAGAAGCAGCCAUCAUUUAAAGAAAGCGUAAUAGCUCACUGGUCGAGUCGGCCUGCGCGGAAGAUGUAACGGGGCUAAACCAUGCACCGAAGCUGCGGCAGCGACGCUUAUGCGUUGUUGGGUAGGGGAGCGUUCUGUAAGCCUGUGAAGGUGUGCUGUGAGGCAUGCUGGAGGUAUCAGAAGUGCGAAUGCUGACAUAAGUAACGAUAAAGCGGGUGAAAAGCCCGCUCGCCGGAAGACCAAGGGUUCCUGUCCAACGUUAAUCGGGGCAGGGUGAGUCGACCCCUAAGGCGAGGCCGAAAGGCGUAGUCGAUGGGAAACAGGUUAAUAUUCCUGUACUUGGUGUUACUGCGAAGGGGGGACGGAGAAGGCUAUGUUGGCCGGGCGACGGUUGUCCCGGUUUAAGCGUGUAGGCUGGUUUUCCAGGCAAAUCCGGAAAAUCAAGGCUGAGGCGUGAUGACGAGGCACUACGGUGCUGAAGCAACAAAUGCCCUGCUUCCAGGAAAAGCCUCUAAGCAUCAGGUAACAUCAAAUCGUACCCCAAACCGACACAGGUGGUCAGGUAGAGAAUACCAAGGCGCUUGAGAGAACUCGGGUGAAGGAACUAGGCAAAAUGGUGCCGUAACUUCGGGAGAAGGCACGCUGAUACGUAGGUGAAGUCCCUCGCGGAUGGAGCUGAAAUCAGUCGAAGAUACCAGCUGGCUGCAACUGUUUAUUAAAAACACAGCACUGUGCAAACACGAAAGUGGACGUAUACGGUGUGACGCCUGCCCGGUGCCGGAAGGUUAAUUGAUGGGGUCAGCGCAAGCGAAGCUCUUGAUCGAAGCCCCGGUAAACGGCGGCCGUAACUAUAACGGUCCUAAGGUAGCGAAAUUCCUUGUCGGGUAAGUUCCGACCUGCACGAAUGGCGUAAUGAUGGCCAGGCUGUCUCCACCCGAGACUCAGUGAAAUUGAACUCGC
rnacentral:rRNA from 1 species